ACUGCUCAGUAACACGUAGUCAACCUACCCUUGGGACGGGGACAACCUCGGGAAACUGAGGCUAAUACCCGAUAGGUGAGGGACGCUGGGAUGCCUCCUCGCCCAAAGCUCCGGCGCCCAAGGAUGGGACUGUGGUCUAUCAGGCUGUUGGUGGUGUAACGGACCACCAAACCUACGACGGGUACGGGCGACGGGAGUCGGAGCCCGGAGAUGGGGACUGAGACAAGGCCCCAGGCCCUACGGGGCGCAGCAGGCGCGAAAACUCCGCAAUGCGCGCAAGCGUGACGGGGGGAUCCCAAGUGCCGUUGGUCUUUCGAUCGACGGUUUUUAGGAAGUCUAAGAAGCUUCCAGAAUAAGGGCUGGGCAAGACUGGUGCCAGCCGCCGCGGUAACACCAGCAGCCCAAGUGGUGACCACGAUUAUUGGGCCUAAAGCGCUCGUAGCUGGAUCAGCAAGUCCCUUGUGAAAUCGGGCCGCCUAACGGUUCGGCGUGCAAGGGAUACUGUUGGUCUUGAGGCCGGGAGAGGUCGGAGGUACUCCUGGGGUAGCGGUGAAAUGCUCUAAUCCUAGGGGGACCACCAGUGGCGAAGGCGUCCGACCAGAACGGACCUGACGGGGAGGGGCGAAGGCUAGGGGAGCGAACGGGAUUAGAUACCCCGGUAGUCCUAGCUGUAGAGCAUGCGGGCCAGGUGUCUAGCGCUCCUUGAGGGCGCUAGGUGCCGGAGGGAAGCCGUUAAGCCCGCCGCCUGGGAAGUACGGCCGCAAGGCUGAAACUUAAAGAAAUUGGCGGGGGAGCACCACAAGAGGUGGGACCUGCGGUUC
rnacentral:rRNA from 1 species